UGCCAGACUCCUACGGGAGGCAGCAGUGAGGAAUAUUGGUCAAUGGUCGGGAGACUGAACCAGCCAAGCCGCGUGAGGGAGGAAGGUACAGAGUAUCGUAAACCUCUUUUGUCAGGGAACAAAGACUGGGACGCGUCCCCGGAUGAGUGUACCUGAAGAAAAAGCAUCGGCUAACUCCGUGCCAGCAGCCGCGGUAAUACGGAGGAUGCGAGCGUUAUCCGGAUUUAUUGGGUUUAAAGGGUGCGCAGGCGGUCUGUUAAGUCAGCGGUCAAAGCCCGGGGCUCAACCCCGGGGCUGCGAUUGAAACUGCACACCUUGAGUAUCGGAGAGGAAAGCGGAAUUCCUAGUGUAGCGGUGAAAUGCGUAGAUAUUAGGAGGAACACCAGUGGCGAAGGCGGCUUUCUGGACGACAACUGACGCUGAGGCGCGAAAGUGUGGGGAGCAAACAGGAUUAGAUACCCCAGUAGAG
rnacentral:rRNA from 1 species